AGAGUACUGCCUUUGGAGAUUAGGGUAUGGUUUGACAUUGUCUUUCUCCAGUAGGUCCUGCACUGAGCGUAUCCCUUUAUCUGUCCAAGUUUUUACAGUUAGGUCUGGGGAUAAAGCCGACAAGGCUUCUAUCGGGGCCUCUCUCAGCAACUUAUCGGCGGGCAGUAGUGAUGGGCUCCAAGCUACCCAGGAGGCCAGUAAGAACCGCGUGCAGUGUAGUGGCC